GGGAAUGUGGCUUAGUGGUAGAGUGCUUGCCUAGCAUGCAUGAAGUCCUGGGUUUGAUUCCUCAUUACCA
rnacentral:tRNA from 1 species